CAAAAAGAAAAACCAGAGGCGCUCUAAUCUUCAUUCCAUCGAAGAACCGGCAGGUAUGUUUUGGAUCAGCAUCUCUGAUAAAUUUUGCCUUUCAGCUUGGGAGCUACGCAUCAAGCCAGACCAUGAAGAUGGUUGGCUGAUCAUGCAGCCUGGCCAACCACAUCAGCAGCCUGAUCCACUUUUACAUGGAGAAUGUGGUUAACGACCGCACCCUUCUGAUUGGAGCCCGACUGAAAAUUGGAGUUAGAAAAGGAUUUUAGAGUACGACCAACAACCGAACCAUCCUCAACAAAACCCGGACAGUGGCCACACCCUCCUUGG
rnacentral:lncRNA from 1 species